AGUAAAAUUUUGUAUCUAAACCGAAUGUCUGAAAUUGUUUUUUGGCGUUGUGUUGGAUGACAUGGCCGGCAGGGAAGGUAAGCGCGCUUUUAUUUGUAUCUCUUCGUCUUCUGAAGAAGAAGAAGAAGACGACGACAACGACCAAGUAGAAGACAGCGGCACUGAAGAAGAAGAAGAAGAUGAUGGCGACGAAGGUGACAACGACGAUUAUAAUGAUGAGCAGGAGGACGACGAUGCUGAUGAGCAAAUUGAGGAGGGCGAUGACGAGGCUCUCUGCAACAAAGUGAUCCGCUCUCUCAAUGAAGGGAGUGAUUUGGAUUCUUUAAAUCUCAAAGAGUGCAAAGCAUAUUUGCGAAGGAACGGCCUCAGAAUAUCUGGAACCAAAUCUGUUUGUAUACAGAGAAUCGAAGAGCACCAGAGAUUGAAAGAUGGAAAUGGUGAAGCACUUUACCCUAAAUCAUCCUUUGUAGUUAAUUGUACAGGUGAUGUCUGCAAGGGAGAUGUCGUGCUCUUCACCCAGAAAGUUUAUGAGAAAUUUGAUAAAGUGAGAAGGUACGGAAGGAUUCUAGGGAAGAGAACUGUUGCUGGCAGGAUUGCCAAAGAAAGCUAUGGUGCAGCCAAACAACAACAUACUUUUACGGUUGAAGUGCUGUGGAGCAGGGGAAUAAAGAAGCUGUGCCCUCUAUUUCCUUUGCUUGUGAAGGGUCGUAAUCUCUAUAGAUUGAGAACCUUUAGACAGCGUUGGAGUAAUGAAGCUGAAAGAUCAAAAGUGCUUGCUGAGAAGCACAGACGAGGUGAAGUAGCAAGACGUGUCAGAGCAAUGAAAAAAUCAAAGAAAUCAGCUGCAAAUGGAGGUGUGAAACGUCAGAAACAAUCACAUUUUACCAGACCAAAUCAAAUUAGGAAAAACAAUGAAUCAGAAAAGGGAAAGCAUUUGGAUAGACUCCGAAAAAGGACAUCCCGUGGAUCUGCAAACCAUAACAGUUUCUUUCAACAUCGAGCAGCCCUACCAUCAAAACAGCUGACUUUGCAACAAAGUGCAAUGAGUAAAGCCUCUCAAUGUUUUAGUAGGCAUCAGAAUCCAGCUUGCUUUAAUAUUGAUAGAGUUCCAGCUCUUCAUUCACAGCCUGUCCCUCAAAUACCUCUCCAAUCUCAACUAGAAUUUCAACACAGGAGUGCACCUUUCCAGUCUUUUAGUCAUGCCAUGAACUCGAAUUCAACCAUGUUGAGAUAUUCUGUAACAACUAAUGUUGAUACACUUAUUCAACCUGCCUCACAAUUUCAGAGGUUCAGUAACAGCAAUUGUAGCCACAAUGGUUAUGUAGUUCCUGGCUACAAUCUUGAAAAUUGGGAUCAUUUACCAGGUGUGAAUUUUGGCAGGCGAUUUCAUCCCUAUAUUUCAGGAGCUGACACAAAUGGACAGAUGAGGAUGGGACAGAGAUGACGUGUGCACCUAUUCCAUUCCCAAUUUAUGGAAUAAGUUUCAACUCGCAGCAUUUCAUUUGAGAUGGCAUCAAUAAAGCAUGAGACCAGCUAGAGUGGUUGUGUUCCGGACUUGCUAUGGUGUCUUUUCUGACGGAGGUGGUAAUGGUAUUAAUUGUUGAGAAUUGUAGCUUUGAUAUAAUUUAGCCUCACAUUGCAGGUAGCUCCAAUAUAAAUGUUUCCGAAGCUAAUAGCAAUUGGUCAGUUAGGGUUAGGUCUCUUAUCCCCCUUGUCAAGGGCAGUUGUAGUUGGAUUUGGUGUGGUACAUGG